GUGGGGAAUAUUCCGCAAUGGACGAAAGUCUGACGGAGCAACGCCGCGUGAGUGAUGAAGGUUUUCGGACUGUAAAGCUCUGUUGUUUAGGACGAAAGUGCCUGUUGCAAAUAGUUACAGGUAUUGACGGUACUGAACGAGGAAGCCACGGCUAACUACGUGCCAGCAGCCGCGGUAAUACGUAGGUGGCAAGCGUUGUCCGGAAUUAUUGGGCGUAAAGAGCAUGUAGGCGGGAAUCUAAGUCUGUUGUGAAAAUGCGGGGCUCAACCCCGUAUUGCGAUGGAAACUGGGUUUCUUGAGUGCAGGAGAGGAAAGGGGAAUUCCCAGUGUAGCGGUGAAAUGCGUAGAUAUUGGGAGGAACACCAGUGGCGAAGGCGCCUUUCUGGACUGUGUCUGACGCUGAGAUACGAAAGCCAGGGUAGCGAACGGGAUUAGAAACCCGGGUAGUCC
rnacentral:rRNA from 1 species